rnacentral:lncRNA from 1 species
AUUUAAAGCAGCCACCUCCUCUGUCUACCACAGUGAGCCCUGGCUGAGGUUUCUUGCCGCAGCAGGUGCAGGAAGUCCUCAAGAUGAGUGGCCCCUGAGUCCUGCACUUGACAGGAGGCCUUGAGAUAUCGGCCCAAUCAGAAACUCCAUGACGCUCAGGACGAGGAAGAAGAGGAAGGGGCUGACCGGGAGAGGAGGCAAGAAAGGAACACACCAGGAGAAAAGCUGAUGAAAAGAUACACUCGCAGAGGUUCAGGAGCUGCCUUGCUACCUCGAAAGGAAGAAGACAAAAAGUGUAAGCUUACACUAUUGUUUGUAAAUGCUAGAACACAAUCCCCCCAGACAGAGGGAAGUGUAAGACCGAGAAGGAGGCACAUAGAGAGAAAGAGGGAGAAAGAGAGAAUAACUUCCGCCACCAAAUUGCUUUUACUUAACAGUUUAGGUCAGUUUCAACUAGGUCACAAGGAUGUGUGUAUCUUCAGAAUAAAGUCUUUAAUCGGCUGAUGGAUAUGAAAAAAUAAAUUACUGUGGCAAAAUGUAAUAAACGUUAAAGGGAAAAUGAUGAGGGUAAUAUAACUACAUUGAUUUAACUAGGAUGAUAUAGAGGAAUUGUCUGUUUUAUAGGUUUCUAGAUGUCUAUUAGUGGCUCUGUAUUAAGGAAUAGGGCUGUUCUCUUGAUAUACUUAAGAGCUGUCAGUAAUUCCUAUUUCACAGUCCACCGCUUCAAUUCAGAAAGUGUGUUCCAGCCCUUGGUGACCCCAUCCCGGAGGCACUGGAGGGUGACCAGCUGCCACAGGUUUGCGUUCGGGCAGCUAUCGGGGUACCAAAAUGAAGCUGACUGCUUCGGGGAUGCCCAACAACCAGAGGUGGAAGGUCUUCCAGAGGGUAUUUCUCAUCCAGAACGUGCAAAAGAAGAAAAGAAAAAAGAAAAAGCAGAAAUAAAGUGCAAUAACCAGAAAUGCAUGUGA